UACGUAGGGGGCAAGCGUUGUCCGGAAUCAUUGGGCGUAAAGAGCGCGUAGGCGGCCCUGUAAGUCCGCUGUGAAAGUCAAGGGCUCAACCCUUGAAUGCCGGUGGAUACUGCAGGGCUAGAGUCCGGAAGAGGCGAGUGGAAUUCCUGGUGUAGCGGUGAAAUGCGCAGAUAUCAGGAGGAACACCGGUGGCGAAGGCGGCUUCCUGGACCGACACUGACGCUGAGGCGCGAAAGCUAGGGGAGCAAACGGG
rnacentral:rRNA from 1 species